rnacentral:rRNA from 1 species
AGUAGUCACGAGUUUGAUAUGGCUCAGGAUGAACGCUGGCGGUAUGCCUAACACAUGCAAGUCGUACGAGAGUUUUUAACUCUAGUGGCGGACGGGUGAGUAACACGUGAGAAUUUGCCUUUAGGAGGGGGGACAACAAUCGGAAACGAAUGCUAAUACCCCAUAUGCUUUCGAGUGAAAUGGAUUUUAUCCGCCUAGAGAGAAGCUCGCGGCUGAUUAGCUUGUUGGUAAGGUAAGAGCUUACCAAGGCGACGAUCAGUAUCUGGUUUGAGAGGACGAUCAGACACACUGGAACUGAGACACGGUCCAGACUCCUACGGGAGGCAGCAGUGGGGAAUUUUCCGCAAUGGGCGAAAGCCUGACGGAGCAAUACCGCGUGAGGGAAGAAAGCCUACUGGGUUGUAAACCUCUUUUUUCAGGGAGGAAAAAAAUGACGUGUACCUGAAGAAUAAGCAUCGGCUAACUCCGUG